UGUGCCUAAUACAUGCAAGUCGAACGCGUUGGCCCAAUUGAUUGAUGGUGCUUGCACCUGAUUGAUUUUGGUCGCCAACGAGUGGCGGACGGGUGAGUAACACGUAGGUAACCUGCCCAGAAGCGGGGGACAACAUUUGGAAACAGAUGCUAAUACCGCAUAACAACGUUGUUCGCAUGAACAACGCUUAAAAGAUGGCUUCUCGCUAUCACUUCUGGAUGGACCUGCGGUGCAUUAGCUUGUUGGUGGGGUAACGGCCUACCAAGGCGAUGAUGCAUAGCCGAGUUGAGAGACUGAUCGGCCACAAUGGGACUGAGACACGGCCCAUACUCCUACGGGAGGCAGCAGUAGGGAAUCUUCCACAAUGGGCGCAAGCCUGAUGGAGCAACACCGCGUGAGUGAAGAAGGGUUUCGGCUCGUAAAGCUCUGUUGUUAAAGAAGAACACGUAUGAGAGUAACUGUUCAUACGUUGACGGUAUUUAACCAGAAAGUCACGGCUAACUACGUGCCAGCAGCCGCGGUAAUACGUAGGUGGCAAGCGUUAUCCGGAUUUAUUGGGCGUAAAGAGAGUGCAGGCGGUUUUCUAAGUCUGAUGUGAAAGCCUUCGGCUUAACCGGAGAAGUGCAUCGGAAACUGGAUAACUUGAGUGCAGAAGAGGGUAGUGGAACUCCAUGUGUAGCGGUGGAAUGCG
rnacentral:rRNA from 2 species